rnacentral:sRNA from 1 species
AGACGCAUAAGGAGACGAUGAAGAAGCACUUUGAGCAGU